CUUCCUUCUACUUGAAAACUCUCGGCUCUCUCCCUCUUUGAAAUACAAGAAAAUUUUCUCUUCCAUUCUUGAUCAUGUCUUGAAAAGAAUUAAAGGAAAAUCAAGUGUAAAUGAUAAAGUUAAGCUACACCCAAAUGUUAGCAAAUGAAAGGAAAAAGGAUCGGCGAAAGAAGAAAUGUCGAAUGGAAAGGUUUGGAAACAACAUCAUCCAGGUAGCAUGCUCAACACUUAAAUGGCCUAAUUCUCUUGCGUAUUUUUCCGUGAUUAGUACGUGACUUAUUGUCUAAAUAAUUUAUGAUUAAUUAUGUGAUAAAAUAUUCAAGAAGUAAAAUAUAAGAAUAUGAUGGAUUGUUGAUUGAUUUGAUAAUGAAAUAUGUGAAAAGAGUAUACGUUGAGGAGAUGGAAAUAAAUGUGAUUAAAUGUGAUGAUGUCUGAUCUAUCUAUCUGUGAUGAGGUCUGAUUUGUCUGUCUGUGUUGAUGUAUUAUUAUUUUAGUAGAUUAUGAGUAAUUAUGUGAUAAAAGACUUAUGAAGUAAAACAUGAGAAUAUGGUGAAUUAUUGAAUGAUUUGGUAAUGAAGUAUGAAAAUGGAAGAAUAUGAUUGUGAAUGUAAAGAUGGUGAGAUGUAUACAAAUAAGAUUUACAUGUGAAAUUUGUCUGAUCGAUCUGUGUUGACGUCUGAUCUGUCUGUAUGGAUUUGUUAUGUUGGAAAUCGUUGAUGAUAAAGUAUACUUGUAAGUGCUUAUGCCCCGUGCUUGAAUGUGUUCUGUGGGUACAAUUGGCAUGCCAUAGGACAGCAGCGCUGCAUUAUCUAUGAUCUCUCGUCUUCUGGAUAACCGAAGCGAGGAUCGUCUGUUAUCUGAUCUGUCUGAUCUACACCCUAUGGGUGGUCAGUUCCCGGGAUUAUCUGUCUACAUCCGAAAUGGAUGGUCUGAUUAUCUGUCUGCACCCUAAUUGGGUGGUCAGUGCGGAGUCCUCUCGAGGACAAAAUCCGCGUCUGUAUCUGAUUCUGAUCGUGAUUCUGAUUCUGAUCUGGUCCGCGUACCCUAGUAUGUCACUAAGCACAUUAAGGGGCCAUGUGUGAAAUUAUGUGAUAAUGUCAAUCGAAAUAUUCGUGAUGAUAUAUGUGACAAUGUGUAUGGCAACAUAUGAGUUAUAAUAUGAGAUUAUGUGAAACAUCUGUUAAAAUUUGAUAUGAUAAUAUCUUAUACGUGAAAAUGGAUUCUGUUACAUGGUUCUGUUGAGUUUUUUCAUAAAUAUUGAAAAUCUGACUUGCAGAUGUAGUUUAUGACAUAUGUGAAGUUUUGUAUUAUUAUACCCCUCUGAUGACAUAGUUUGGAAAUUUGAAGUCGUGGACGGAGAUUUGACUACUGGUACGGGUUAAUUGGAUCAGGGAUUUCUUUGGAUAUUUCUUUCGUUUCUUUGCCAGCACUGCAUCCACGGUGGGUCACUAAUCACUGCUUGCGGCGUUUGUGUCCAUUUCUAUUAGAUGUGGCAUGUAUAGUAUUUGAACAUUUGCAAUAGCUUCCGCUGUGUUUGUAAAUAGUGUUGGAACUUUUGUUGAUAGGUUAAUGAAUUAAGUUUGGUUUUUAAUUGACCAUAAUUUAUGGCA